GAUGUCGAUCGAUACACCAAGGGUGUCGAUCGACACCCACACCAAAACCUUAAAAAUUGGUUCGCGGAUGUUACAAGAAGUGUAGAGACAACAAUUGGAUUUAAUUUCGGCGUAAAACUUACCAUAUAGUUUUGGAUUUCUUUUUCCUUGCAAGUAGAGAAAUAUUUUUCCUACAAUGGAUCACUAAGGUAAUAUCUCUAUCUUUUGUUUAUAAUUCUGCGUCAUAGUUAUCAAAUAAUUUAGAGUCAUCAUCGUUUGUUAAUUAUUUUCUUUUGUUUAAAAUGAGGAGAAAUAUGAGGAACACUAAAUCAAAGAUGUAUGAUUAUAGCUUUUGAGUGGAGCUUCGAGAUAUAUAAUCGAAUUGUCUUCUUUUAAAGGUUUUUAGCUAUCCAUCAAAGUAGAUUUUGAAUAUUAUUGUGGUUGACAUGGAUACCUGUUUAGUUGUUUUUCAAGUUCAAAGUUUCGUUAAUUAUUUUCUUUUGUUAAAAGUCAGGAGAAAUAUGAAGAACACUAAAUGAAAGAUGUUUGAUUAUAGCUUUUGAGUGGACCUUCGAGAUAUAUAAUCGAAUUGACUCUUCUUUGCGCAGGUUUGUAGCUUUCCAUCAAAGUAGAUUUUGAAUAUUAUCCCCAUCGUUGACUUUCUCUACUUUCUUAUUGCAAGAACGACAACUAAUAUAGUACCAAGCCCAGUCUGUGUCAAUGGCGUAGACAGUGCAAUGAAUCCUUGCUUUUCCAAUCUGUAGAUAGAUAUUUUUUAUUGGUUAGUUUGCAUAAAUCAAUAGAGUUAACAUAAGCUUUUAAUACCUCAAAAGCACUCUUCAACUCUUCAAUAGUUCUCCUAGGAUACUCUUCUGCAUUUUCAGCUUGGACAGCAGCCAUCCCCCACCUUGGUUGUCUCUGACGAAAUAUGAGAGACAGGCCAUCAUCUGGGAGCCUGUGACAAUUUGAUUAUAUAUGUUUAAGUGAUUACAAUUCGAACUCACUAAUUAUGGGGGUUCACAUGGACUUGAGAUGCAUCAAAUGAAUUAGUCAAAAAGUUUACACCUGACAGAAUAAAAUCAUAAGAUGCAUGGAUCAUUAAAAUACUUGAUUUUAUCUUCACAAAUCUGAGGACACAGGUGAUGAUGCUUCCAUCAGAGUCUUGGCAGGAUUGCCAUACGUGCUCGGCAAAGGGACUCCACAAGUAGACCUUACCAUCGAGUCUGACAACACCAACUCAAGUGUUUCACCACCAUUUAGAUGCCAUGAAUGGAUGACCUUGACUUGAACCCUCCAUGAGGUUUUGUAGGGGCGAACGUCUUUCAAGAAAGCAAAGGUAGCAGCCAUAAUGUUGAUUGAUAUUUGAGUAGCGUAAUUGUUGGAGCAGAUUUUUGGAAAUCAAGCAGUUUAAACAGAAUUCGUGGAGAAGAUUGUAAGGCAAGAAAAUCUUUGUCAUUUAAUUGUUACGAAUAAACGGGUGAGAGGAGAAGGUGUAAUCGUGUUCUUGAGAAUGUUACAACUUUCGAUAGAGGCUGGGCUUGGCCCAAUUGUUUUUUGUAAUCAACAAAUCGUGUGACCCAAAAAGAAUAUUUGUUUGUAAGGUAUUAAAGACUGUGGCAGGGUUGUAAAUAAGUUGGAAGUCCAGGAUUUAUUCUAUAAAUGUUUCUGAAAAUGUAUAUAUAGAUUUUAUGAA